UGUGGAUAGCGGAGAAAUUCCAAUCGAACCCGGAGAUAGCUGGUUCUCCCCGAAACCGUUUUAGGACGGGCCUCGUGUGAAGAUUAUCGGAGGUAAAGCACUGAAUAGCCUAGGGGGCGAGAGCCUACCGAAGCUUAUCAAACUCUGAAUGCCGAAUAAUCGUUUCACGGGAGUCAGACUGUGUGAGAUAAGUUUCAUAGUCAAAAGGGAAACAGCCCAGACCCACAGCUAAGGUCCCAAAGUGUAUUUAAGUGGAAAACGAUGUGAAGUUGCGUAGACAACCAGGAUGUUGGCUUAGAAGCAGCCACUCAUUAAAAGAGUGCGUAAUAGCUCACUGGUCGAGUGACUUUGCGCGGAAAAUUUAACGGGGCUAAAAUACACACCGAAGCUUGGGCUUGACGCUUUGCGUCAGGGGUAGGGGAGCGUCGUGUAAGGGGCGAAGUCGUAUCGUAAGGGACGGUGGACUUUACACGAGUGAGAAUGCCGGAAUGAGUAGCGAGAAUUAUGUGAGAAUCAUAAUGGUCGAAAGCCUAAGGUUUUUGGAGGAAGGUUCGUCCGCUCCAAGUAAGCCGGGAGCUAAGGUCAGGCGGAAACGCGUAGCCGAUGCACAUACGGUUGAAAUUCCGUAGCCUCAGAAAGAUUUAAGCAGAGGGACACUUUGAAAGGACUGUAGCCGGGUGUUGGUUACCCCGGUCGUAAGGGAACGAAAUUAAGUAGUGAAGGCAGUCUGGACGGAGGCGAGAAAAGCUCUGUGUAUAUCUAAUGAGCCCGUACCGCAAACCGACACAGGUAGGUGGGAUGAGAAUUCUAAGACCAACGGGAGAAGGGUAGUUAAGGAACUCGGCAAAUUGACCCCGUAACUUCGGAAUAAGGGGAGCCUGCGAAAGCAGGCCGCAGAGAAUUGGCCCAGGCGACUGUUUAUCAAAAACACAGCUCUAUGCUAAAUCGAAAGAUGACGUAUAUGGGGUGACACCUGCCCGGUGCUGGAAGGUUAAGAGGAGAAGUGAGAGCUUUGAAUUGAAGCCCCAGUAAACGGCGGCCGUAACUAUAACGGUCCUAAGGUAGCGAAAUUCCUUGUCAGGUAAGUUCUGACCCGCACGAAUGGUGUAACGAUUUGGGCACUGUCUCAACAACCCACCCGGCGAAAUUGUAGUACCGGUGAAGAUGCCGGUUACCCGCGACUAGACGGAAAGACCCCAUGGAGCUUCACUGUAGCUUAAUAUUGAGUUUUGGUAUUUCAUGUACAGGAUAGGUGGGAGACUGAGAAGCAUAGGCGUCAGCUUAUGUGGAGUCGCUGUUGGGAUACCACUCUUGAAGUGCUGAAAUUCUAACCUGCGCCCUUGAAUCAGGGCGGGGGACAUUGUUAGGUGGGCAGUUUGACUGGGGCGGUCGCCUCCAAAAGAGUAACGGAGGCGCUCAAAGGUUCGCUCAGCAUGGAUGGAAACCAUGCUAUUGAGUGUAAACGCAAAAGCGAGCCUAACUGCGAGACUGACGGGUCGAGCAGUAACGAAAGUUGGAGUUAGUGAUCCGGCGGUAUGUGAGUGGAAAUGCCGUCGCUCAACGGAUAAAAGCUACCCUGGGGAUAACAGGCUGAUCUCCCCCAAGCGUCCACAGCGACGGGGAGGUUUGGCACCUCGAUGUCGGCUCGUCACAUCCUGGGGCUGAAUUCGGUCCCAAGGGUUCGGCUGUUCGCCGAUUAAAGU
rnacentral:rRNA from 1 species